rnacentral:rRNA from 1 species
UACGGAGGGUGCAAGCAUUAAUCGGAUUUAUUGGGCGUAAAGGGCGCGUAGGCGGACUUUUAAGUCAGAUGUGAAAUACCAGAGCUCAACUCUGGUGCUGCAUUUGAAACUGGAAGACUUGAGGGUUGAAGGAGAAAACGGAAUUCCACAUGUAGCGGUGAAAUGCGUAGAUAUGUGGAAGAACACCUGUGGCGAAAGCGGUUUUCUAUUUAAUACCUGACGCUGAGGCGCGAGAGCAAGGGGAGCAAACAGG